rnacentral:rRNA from 3 species
UUGGUGCCUUCGGGAACUCUGAGACAGGUGCUGCAUGGCUGUCGUCAGCUCGUGUUGUGAAAUGUUGGGUUAAGUCCCGCAACGAGCGCAACCCUUAUCCUUUGUUGCCAGCGGUUAGGCCGGGAACUCAAAGGAGACUGCCAGUGAUAAACUGGAGGAAGGUGGGGAUGACGUCAAGUCAUCAUGGCCCUUACGAGUAGGGCUACACACGUGCUACAAUGGCGCAUACAAAGAGAAGCGACCUCGCGAGAGCAAGCGGACCUCAUAAAGUGCGUCGUAGUCCGGAUUGGAGUCUGCAACUCGACUCCAUGAAGUCGGAAUCGCUAGUAAUCGUAGAUCAGAAUGCUACGGUGAAUACGUUCCCGGGCCUUGUACACACCGCCCGUCACACCAUGGGAGUGGGUUGCAAAAGAAGUAGGUAGCUUAACCUUCGGGAGGGCGCUUACCACUUUGUGAUUCAUGACUGGGGUGAAGUCGUAACAAGGUAACCGUAGGGGAACCUGCGGUUGGAUCACCUCCUUACCUUAAAGAA